rnacentral:rRNA from 1 species
CUACGGGUUGCUGCAGUGGGGAAUAUUGCACAAUGGGCGCAAGCCUGAUGCAGCCAUGCCGCGUGUAUGAAGAAGGCCUUCGGGUUGUAAAGUACUUUCAGCAGGGAGGAAGGGAGUAAAGUUAAUACCUUUGCUCAUUGACGUUACCCGCAGAAGAAGCACCGGCUAACUCCGUGCCAGCAGCCGCGGUAAUACGGAGGGUGCAAGCGUUAAUCGGAAUUACUGGGCGUAAAGCGCACGCAGGCGGUUUGUUAAGUCAGAUGUGAAAUCCCCGGGCUCAACCUGGGAACUGCAGCUGAUACUGGCAAGCUUGAGUCUCGUAGAGGGGGGUAGAAUUCCAGGUGUAGCGGUGAAAUGCGUAGAGAUCUGGAGGAAUACCGGUGGCGAAGGCGGCCCCCUGGACGAAGACUGACGCUCAGGUGCGAAAGCGUGGGGAGCAAACAGGAUUAGAUACCCCAGUAGUC